rnacentral:rRNA from 1 species
UACAUGGGGUGCAAACGUUGCUCGGAAUUAUUGGGCGUAAAGCGCGCGUAGGCGGUUACUCAAGUCGGAUGUGAAAGCCCUCGGCUUAACUGAGGAAGUGCACCCGAAACUGAGUAGCUAGAGUACUAAAGAGGGUCGCGGAAUUCCCGGUGUAGAGGUGAAAUUCGUAGAUAUCGGGAGGAACACCGGUGGCGAAGGCGGCGACCUGGGUAGAUACUGACGCUGAGAAGCGAAAGCAUGGGGAGCGAACAGG